UUACCCAUCAGUGAGUGGCAAAACUGGGAAAAACCCCAGCUCAGCUUGAUCUGGAAACCUUGGCCUCAUUUCACCCGGCACAGUGCCUCUGCAGAGACAGAGGGCUCCUUUGUGGAGCCCUCGAGUGCUAGACGGACCCACAAAAUUACUCAUCAGCUGCAGGUCCUCUCCCUCCCUUGUCCCCACACCACCUCCCAGGUCCUCUCCCUCUCUAGAAGAAAUGGUCCAAGUUACAAGGCAGACACUACUGAAGCUCCAGAGAAGUCUCAGUAGCUUCUAGUUUCUGGCAUUUUGGUCACUGGCAUUUGGCAAAAUGGCCCUUGAUUUAACCAUAAAAGAGGAAUUUGCUGAUACUCAACCAGUCCGCCCCGACUAGUUGUGGACGAUGUCUGCCAGCUGCCUACAGAAUCCACCCUUUUCCUUUGGAAUUCCCUCCUUCUCCUGACGCUGACAAUACCCUUGCCCUUCAGAGGACCUGCCUUCCCACUCUCCAUUGGACACUGUGGAACUUCUUGGCGUCCAGUCCCAAGGGCACAGCCACCGCAGGACUUCACGUCUGCCUGCCUGAGCAGGGCUGGUGUCUUAUGAAUGGCAGCUGAGACCCAGUUCAGGCUCACGACCUCAUAUCACAGGUCAGAAAACAAAAGAACAAUUGAGUUCUUAUGAAAACUUGCCAGAUUUCCAUACAAAAGUUUCCUUCUUGAAAUCCCUUUUUUUUUUUUUUUUUUACUUUUCAUCAUAGAAAUGAACUCAAAGGAAAAUGACUAAUCACCGACCUACUCAGAAUCAUUGGUCCCCGGCAAGCAAGGGUGAUCCUGCAUCAAUCUAUUAAUUUUCAUUUCCAGGGUUCUCAGAUGUAAAACAAAUGUUUGAUGUAAUCCGCAACACUGCUCUGUUAUAAUUAAACAACCUCCUACUGCCUAAAUUGGCAAAGCACUCCAUCGAUCAGUGAUAAAUGUGGUCCUUGGGAGACUGCUUUUAUGUUUGUUUCACUCAUGGGAAAAUGGCCACAACCCUUUUGUAAGAUUCCUCGGCUGCUGCUCUCCCCAGGUUACAAUCAUAGUAACUGCUGCUUCUGGGAUGCCUCGCUGUAAUCCUCAUGUUCAAUGAUGGCUCAAUGGAUAUGUGCUUGAAGGAGAGUGAGUGAUGGGGAG
rnacentral:lncRNA from 1 species